rnacentral:rRNA from 1 species
GACGUAGGGCGCGAGCGUUGUCCGGAUUUAUUGGGCGUAAAGGGCUCGUAGGCGGCUUGUCGCGUCGUCCGUGAAAACUUGGGGCUCAACCCCAAGCUUGCGGUCGAUACGGGCAGGCUCGAGUUCGGUAGGGGAGGCUGGAAUUCCUGGUGUAGCGGUGAAAUGCGCAGAUAUCAGGAGGAACACCGGUGGCGAAGGCGGGUCUCUGGGCCGAUACUGACGCUGAGGAGCGAAAGCGUGGGGAGCGAACAGG